UCGAGUGGAUUCACAUCCACGGCGGACGGCUGCGUAACACGUGGAUACCUGCCUCGUACUCAGGGAUAUCCCUCCGAAAGGAGGAGUAAUACCGGAUGGUCCCGAAAGGGUAAAGAUUUAUCGGUACGAGAGGGGUCUGCGGCCUAUCAGUUAGUUGGUGGGGUAAUGGCCUACCAAGACGAUGACGGGUAGCUGGUCUGAGAGGACGACCAGCCAGAAUGGAACUGAGACACGGUCCAUACUCCUACGGGAGGCAGCAGUUAGGAAUCUUCCGCAAUGGGCGAAAGCCUGACGGAGCGACGCCGCGUGGAGGACGAAGCCCUUACCGGGUGUAAACUCCUGUUGUGAGGGACGAAAUUUUUGACGGUACCUCACGAGAAAGCACCGGCUAAUUCUGUGCCAGCAGCCGCGGUAAGACAGAAGGUGCAAGCGUUACUCGGAAUUACUGGGCGUAAAGCGUCUGUAGGUGUCCUGUCACGUCUGAGGACAAAUCGCGGGGCUCAACCCCGCGCCCUUCUUGGAUACGA
rnacentral:rRNA from 1 species